rnacentral:rRNA from 1 species
GACGGGGCCGCACAAGCGGUGGAGCAUGUGGUUUAAUUCGACGCAACGCGAAGAACCUUACCAGGGCUUGACAUCCCCUGACCGCGUAUGAAAGUACGUUUUCACCCUCGGGUGACAGGGAGACAGGUGGUGCAUGGUUGUCGUCAGCUCGUGUCGUGAGAUGUUGGGUUAAGUCCCGCAACGAGCGCAACCCCUACGUUUAGUUGCUAACAGGUGAAGCUGAGCACUCUAGACGAACUGCCGUUGACAAAACGGAGGAAGGUGGGGAUGACGUCAAAUCAUCAUGCCCCUUAUGUUCUGGGCUACACACGUGCUACAAUGGCCGGUACAGACGGAGGCGAAGCCGCGAGGCGGAGCAAAUCCGAAAAAGCCGGUCUCAGUUCGGAUUGCAGGCUGCAAUUCGCCUGCAUGAAGUCGGAAUCGCUAGUAAUCGCAGGUCAGCAUACUGCGGUGAAUACGUUCCCGGGCCUU